CAGCGGAGGGAGGGCUGGGCAGGGACACAGGAGCAGGGGACCCAACCACAGCCCCUGCUUUGGCAGGGUCAGUCUCCCACCACACACGCACACCCCCAUCUCACUCCCUAUGCCAGGCCAGGUGCCAGGGGCCAGAAACAGUGGCUCAGCAUGGGGCUGAGUGCCCGAGAGUGGCUGGCGGGGCAGCCAGGUGUGAAACACUGGCUGGGGCUGUGGUGCAGGACACAGAGAUGGGGGAUGAGUGGCCUCUUUGACGGGGAGGGUGGCUGGAGAUCCGGGGCUUGCUGUGUCCCCCUCUCCCUGCACACCCAGGCUGCGAUGCCAGUAAGAGCCCCAGAGGGUGCAACGAAGGGGGCCCCUGCUGCUCUGCCCCACUCACCCAUCAGGAUGAACCCGAGACUUGCGGCCUCACCAGGGGAGAUCACGCAUUCCUCGGCCCCUCUGCGCCGUUGGCACCAGGAGGAAUUUGGCAGUAUCCAGUCGAGGUGAAGACACACUGGGGACCUGGCAAGUGCUCUCCCACGUCUACACCCAGGGACACACAUGAGAAGGUUCACACAGCACAGUCUGAAUCGGCGAGGGACUGGAAACAACACAAACGCUCGUCUACAGGAGAUGGAUGAUGAACUGUGAUCUACCAGCUCCGUGGAACAGCAAACAACAGUGAGAAUGAAUGACCCACAGCUACGUUGGAUGGACAUCAAAAACAAUAUUAAACAGAAGAAGCAAAACAAAACCCGAUACAUCCUAGGACUUUGUUCAGAAAUAGUUUAAAACCAGACAAAAUGAAAUAUGCUCUUUAGGGAAGCAUACAGAGGUAGCAAAACCAAAGAGAAAAGCAAGGCAGCGACUGCCUCAAAAAUCAGGGGAGAAGCUGCCUCCGGGGGGCAAGAGGGCUUGGGACGGGCUUCUGGGGGGCUGGAACCAUCUGUGUCUUCAAAUGGAGGCGGGGGUUACGUGGGUUUUCCCUUUAAAGUAACUGAUCAUACUAUACAUUUAUGCCUUAGGUAGGCUAAUAAUUUAAAAUUAGGAUUUUAAAUAAAAAAUAUAUAUAUGUCUA